rnacentral:lncRNA from 1 species
UUGACUACAUGUUGAAUAUUACACCAGUGUUUUCUUUAUACCUCAGAUAUUGCACCACUACGUAAGACGGGGAUUUUAGCACGCCACACAUUCACAAAAUGUAGACACCCUUCCACUCAGAAUGUGUCUUUCUACUUUGUAUCUAAUGAAAAAACAACAACAUUUAAACUAAUGUCGGCCGUCUAUCUUGUGGGUCGCACUUUAACAGCAGCACUUUACAAUGCCUAGUGCCAUUUUACGUCUAUAGAUUCCAGCAGGAGUUCAACUCCUCCUCCGCUGGUGAAGUCAUGCAUAGCGAAAGAGAAGGUGAAACGAAGGCCUUUAAUGUUCUGUCCGUCCGCCUGGCAACACUGAGCUCACGAGGAGCGCGGCAAAUCAGAGAAGAGUGAACACACUUUGACGUGUUACAGAUUAAAUGAGUCACUGUUUCAUGAGUCUAAAGUUGUACAUCGAUCGACUCGGGUGAUUUCCGCCCAUGCAAUAGCUGUGCUGACUCCUCCAUUCAACAUCGACAUGUGCUGCUCUGUGUUAGCCGCGGGAAUGUGAUGAUCAACUGAAACGUGUGUCAGUCCAUUGUGUCUGAAGACCAUCUACUUUGUCUAAGUGGAGGAGACUGAGGGGCCGAUGUCACGGGGAUGAGCGGCUCACACUCACACUGGUGACACACAGAUGGGAUCCCUGCCGGCGCCUGGGCUUGUUAGUGACUCACUGCGAGGAGGGAUGGAUGUCAUGGACCAGACGGAGCCCUCCGGCGGAGCAGCCUUGAGACAACUGCUUGAACGUGAACGGCAAAGGGACUGGUUGGAGGGAAUUACAUUUUGGUCUUGUAUGCAGGCUGUCAGUGAGAGAGGAGACAGUUAGAGAGAGGAGAGGAGAGGACCAGCAGAUGGACAGUGGAGUUACUGUCACACAAUAUUAACACAUCCACCUCAAGAGAGGAGUGAGCCUGUCACUCAGGACAAUGGGACUAAAUUACUAAACAGAGGGGAUUCUGUGUGUAGGCGAUCAGGGAGGAAAAUCCAGAAAAUCCUCCUCUGCCCUUAUGACCUUAUACUGGGCUUAUGUUCCAUAUUGUGUGACUAUCAUGGGCAUAUCUGGAUAAAGUGUUGAAAACUAGGGAUUCACACCUGAGGGGAGAGAAAAACACUCCCCGAACACUGGACAUUUCCUUUUGGCCCGGUCUGUGUCAUGCAUGUAACACCAGACUGUGGUGUACUGUGAAUGUAUAUUUGUGCAUCUGUUUUGUUCUGGUACAUUCUUCCCAUGAUAAUUAAACACACAUGAUGAGGCUGUAGGAAAGGGAGACUGUUAGUCAGGCCCCAGUCAUUCUUGUCACGGGUCUCCUAUUUACCAGCUCAGCCCAGUGUGUGUGUGUGUGUGUGUGUGUGUGUGUGUGUGUGUGUGUGUGUGUGUGUGUGUGUGUGUAUGGGAGAGUGAGUUUGUGUAUAUUUGCGUGCCUACGAGAGCAAACUGGAGUUUUGUGUGUGUGUGGGUGUGUGUGUGAUACCACACCAUUGGCAUUCUUCAUUUGUAAAUAAUUGAAUCAGGCUAUCUUAGUUUGCUCAGAGCGCAGCUUUAAUUUGCAGCCGUUCUGCUCUUAAAGACUGGUAAUUAUGGCCUUUAG